UCCCGGAUUUCCCAGGCAGUCUCCUUAGAGUUCUCGGCUUCACCCGUUAGCAACAUCGAAUGGGGGUUGCGCUCGUUGCGGGACUUAACCCAACAUCUCACGACACGAGCUGACGACAACCAUGCAGCACCUCUGCGGACUCCCUUGCGGGUCAGCCACUGUUUCCAACAGCUUACCAUCCGUAGUUCAAGCCCAGGUAAGGUUCUUCGCGUUGCGUCGAAUUAAACCACAUGUUCCACCGCUUGUGCGGGCCCCCGUCAAUUCCUUUGAGUUUCAACCUUGCGGCCGUACUCCCCAGGCGGUUCAUUUAAUGCGUUAGCUGCGACGCGGAAGGGGUCGAUACCUCCCACAUCUAAUGAACAUCGUUUAGGGCUAGGACUAC
rnacentral:misc_RNA from 1 species